ACACCAUGCCACACAGCCACCAUGUACUCACUUGCUGUAACUCUCACGCAGAAAUUUGCCCUUUUGGGCACUCCCACAGCUUCUACAAUCACUCUCCACCCUUCUGCUUUCUCCCAGGUAACCUGAGAGAACUCAGCUAUGACAGGGGUCGAAGCUCAGGAAAAGCAUCUGUUUUCUAAUUUUCUAUAUACGUACUUAAAAAAAAAAAAAAAAAAAAAAAAGUAUGCAAAGCACAAGAAGAGAAUUAUCUGUAGUUUGUAAGAACACUUGUGCACUAAAAUAUGGCUGUUGAAACACACCUGACCUCCUUAUCUCACACAGCACUGAAAUACAAGCAAAGCAUUACAAUUCUAUAAUCAUUAUUGCAUCACUUUUGACUUGAGAAUACAGAACAUGUAUAUUUUACUUCUAUUUACUGGCUCUCCCUUCUCCAUAUGAUUUAGUGUCUUUUGACUCUCAGUAUAGAGAAUUACUAUAUGCAGAAAUCAGCACAAUAACAACACAAAGGCAAUGGACAAGUAAAGAAGUCCCUUAAGCACCAUCCCAGAUGCUUUCCUCCAAAGUACAUUCAACCAUGUGCCUGGAGGACAGAUUUUCUCCACCAUUCAUUUUAAACUUCUGCUUAAUGGAGGACCUGACCCAAGACAACAAACCAAGUUUUUAGCUAUAUAGAAAGAAGAUGAACUCUGGACUGACUCAGUACUACUACUGUAUGCUUUCCUGGUCUUCUGAGUAUAUGCUGACACAAGCUUUAAAUCUUUUCAUUCUUCUCAGUAUACACAGAUAGAAAGAUAAAAUAAUUCAAAAAAAAUAAUCAGCAAGCAAUCUGAGACCACUUGUCUUUGUUCUCUUCAACUCACCCAUUGCAGUGGAAACUCAAACAAUGAAUUCAGACUGAGGGGAGCAGAAUAUCUUUCUACCAAGGAUACCAAGAAUACACAGUCAUAGUUCUACUCUCUCCUGCAACAGAAGUACUGUUUAACCUCAGCGAACAUUAUUUUCUCCACCUUUACAAGGGUACUAACAGCACUUCACAGAUUGCUUAAUUAUCUGCUUAUAUCCAGAGUUACCUUCCUUUUUAGAAAUAGCUUUUGAUCUGUUAAUAUAACUUGUGUAUUUAUUUAUUCAAAUAACUUCCCUGUAACAACUUAAAAACUUUAUUAUGGUGAUAUACAGGGGCAAAUUUAACAGUAAUUGUAAGAAAUAAACAGUCAGGACUUGG